AACGAACGCUGGCGGCAGGCCUAACACAUGCAAGUCGAGCGAACCCUUCGGGGUUAGCGGCGGACGGGUUAGUAACGCGUGGGAAUAUACCCUUUGGUACGGAAUAGCCUCGGGAAACUGAGAGUAAUACCGUAUGUGCCCUUCGGGGGAAAGAUUUAUCGCCAAAGGAUUAGCCCGCGUUGGAUUAGAUAGUUGGUGGGGUAAUGGCCUACCAAGUCUACGAUCCAUAGCUGGUUUGAGAGGAUGAUCAGCAACACUGGGACUGAGACACGGCCCAGACUCCUACGGGAGGCAGCAGUGGGGAAUCUUAGACAAUGGGCGCAAGCCUGAUCUAGCCAUGCCGCGUGGACGAUGAAGGCC
rnacentral:rRNA from 1 species